GGGAGCUUGCUCCUGGAUUCAGCGGCGGACGGGUGAGUAAUGCCUAGGAAUCUGCCUGGUAGUGGGGGAUAACGUCCGGAAACGGGCGCUAAUACCGCAUACGUCCUGAGGGAGAAAGUGGGGGAUCUUCGGACCUCACGCUAUCAGAUGAGCCUAGGUCGGAUUAGCUAGUUGGUGGGGUAAAGGCCUACCAAGGCGACGAUCCGUAACUGGUCUGAGAGGAUGAUCAGUCACACUGGAACUGAGACACGGUCCAGACUCCUACGGGAGGCAGCAGUGGGGAAUAUUGGACAAUGGGCGAAAGCCUGAUCCAGCCAUGCCGCGUGUGUGAAGAAGGUCUUCGGAUUGUAAAGCACUUUAAGUUGGGAGGAAGGGCAGUAAGUUAAUACCUUGCUGUUUUGACGUUACCAACAGAAUAAGCACCGGCUAACUUCGUGCCAGCAGCCGCGGUAAUACGAAGGGUGCAAGCGUUAAUCGGAAUUACUGGGCGUAAAGCGCGCGUAGGUGGUUCAGCAAGUUGGAUGUGAAAUCCCCGGGCUCAACCUGGGAACUGCAUCCAAAACUACUGAGCUAGAGUACGGUAGAGGGUGGUGGAAUUUCCUGUGUAGCGGUGAAAUGCGUAGAUAUAGGAAGGAACACCAGUGGCGAAGGCGACCACCUGGACUGAUACUGACACUGAGGUGCGAAAGCGUGGGGAGCAAACAGGAUUAGAUANCCUGGUAGUCCACGCCGUAAACGAUGUCGACUAGCCGUUGGGAUCCUUGAGAUCUUAGUGGCGCAGC
rnacentral:rRNA from 1 species